rnacentral:ncRNA from 1 species
UAAAAGUUUUAUUCUUGCUAAACAAUCUUUUUAUUUUUAUACUAUAUACUUUUUUUGUAUACUUAAAGUUUAAUUUGUAGUAGUAAUUAUUGUUAGUCAAGUUAUUUUGGAUACAGUAAAUUAUUUAAUUCCGGUUAAUUUCGUGCCAGCAGCCGCGGUUAUACGAUUGGGGUAAAAGAUUGCUUUUGGUUAAUAGUUAUUUUUUUUGUUUUAUUAACUUUGAAUUUUUUAGGUGAAAUUUAUAUUUUUAUUUAAUAUAUUUGUUUACAUUCUAUGAAACUUGAAUUAUAAACAAGGAUUAGAUACCCUUUUAUUUUAAGUGUUAAUUUUUACUUGGGUAGUAAUAGUUAUGUUCUUGAAACCCAAAGAAUUUGGCGGUAUUUUAGUCUUUUCAGAGGAACCUGUUCUGUAAUCGAUAAUCCACGAUUUUAUCAACUUAUUUUUGUUUUCAGUUUUUAUAUCUCCGUCAUAAGAAUAUUUUUUUAGAAGAAAUUUUCUUAAUUGUCAAAUACAAUUAUGUCAGGUCAAGGUGAAGCUAAUAGAUAAGUAGAAAUGGGUUACAAUAAAAUUAUUUAUACGGAUUUUUUGUAUUAUAAUAAUUCUGAAGGUGGAUUUGGAAGUAAAAUUAAUUAAUUAGUUUUUUUGAUUUUAGCUCUAAAAUAUGCACACAUCGCCCGUCGCUCUCAUAUUAAGGUGAGAUAAGUCGUAACAUAGUAGAUGUAUCGGAAGAUGUAUCUAGUAAGUU